GACGAACGCUGGCGGCGCGCUUAACACAUGCAAGUCGAACGGAAAGGCCUGCUUUCCCUUGUGGAUUGCGGGUACUCGAGUGGCGAACGGGUGAGUAACACGUGAGUGAUCUGCCCCCAACUUGGGUAUAAGCCUGGGAAACUGGGUCUAAUUCCCGAUAGGACUGCAGGGUGGUGCCUGUGGUGGAAAACGAUUUUCUAGUGGUUGGGGAUGAGCUCGCGGCCUAUCAGCUUGUUGGUGGGGUAAUGGCCUACCAAGGCGGCGACGGGUAGCCGGCCUGAGAGGGUGGACGGCCACAUUGGGACUGAGAUACGGCCCAGACUCCUACGGGAGGCAGCAGUGGGGAAUAUUGCACAAUGGGCGGAAGCCUGAUGCAGCGACGCCGUGUGGGGGAUGACGGCCUUCGGGUUGUAAACUCCUUUCGACCGCGAGGAAGCCACCUGGUUGGAAGGGUGGUGACGGUAGUGGUAGAAGAAGCACCGGCUAACUACGUG
rnacentral:rRNA from 1 species